GCAGCGGGGAUGAAGUUUCACGCGAAGGGUGUGUUGUGCGCAGAUGCGGGUUUGUUUUACGACAGUUGCGUGGCUGUUGUAUAUUUGCAUCACAUGAGGCCAAAAUAUGUGGCUGCCCUAGAAAAAUUGCAGCACGAUUUAGGGAUAGCUCCGUUUUUUGGUCCAAAUGCCCUAAAAACGUGGACAGUCACCCUUUUAGAGCAUCUUCAACCCGAUUCCUCAAAAGCGGUUAGAGGAGUAAAAUUUUAGUUUUAAAGACUUAAACGGACCUAGUCAAUCCCUUAUCCCCUUUCGAAGAGUCCCCAUAUAUUUACUCGAUCGGUGCCACUUCUCAUGGAAAAAAAAAAACCCCACACCCCCCGAGGUCGCCUCUCUCCCCCGGUCGACCGCAUCCACUCUGGCACAGCUAUCCUUGCCUCUGUCGGCGACCACGCGCCACUGUAGUAGCCCCGCCGCUCCUCCGCUCACUUCGAUUCAGUUGCCGGUCGUCCCUGCGCUGCCGAGUUCGAUGCACCUACGCUCGUCACCUCCGUCGCCGGAUUCGACACACCUAUGCCCCGGCGCCAUUGUAUUUCGUCGAGGAACGUCAGAAACCAAACCACACAGCCACCCGGAGCUCACCACGCCGCCUCUUGGUCGACUGGCUUGGCUCUAGCCCAGCAGCUCAUCGGUGUGCCUUCAUCGAUCAUCAAGUGAGAUGACUGUUGGCGGCCGGUGCUGCGUCGGGUCUCAGAGGCGAUAGGCCAUCCCGGAUGGGUUUUUUCAAGUGCAAAAUGGGCAAAGUGAGUGCACUUGUGCUUCAGUUCACCUAUAAUCUGUGCUCGUUGUUUGCUUAAUUUUGGGAAGAAUAAUACAAUGAUAUAUAUUGAUAAAGAGAGAUCUAUUAGAUGUUGGUGCACUAGUUAUUAGACAUGAGAUUGAAGAGGCCGCAAUGUCCAAGUUUGAGGAGGCACAGAAGAAACAAGUGUGUAAGCUAGAUAAGGCAACAGAGAAGAGUAAUAAGGAGACGAAGGAAGUAUUGAUUGUACUUGUAUGAGCAGUCAAAAAAUUUCUAUUGAAAUGUGUAAUUUUCUUUGUCGCUUUCUUUGGAUCAGUGCUCCUAGUGAGGAAUUUCUAUUGAAGUGUGUAAUUUUCCUUGCGGUUUUUUUGGGUCAGUGCUUCUAGUGAGGAAUUUCUGUUGAAGUGUGUAAUUUUCUUUGGAUCAAUGCUUCUAGUGAGGAACAGUUGAAGCAUGUGCACAAAAUGACGUCUAAUGAAAUAAUUGAGUAGUAAACCUUUAA